AUUAAUUUUAGAAGAGCAUGAAAAUUAUACGCUAUAAAUAAAUCAAAUCAUAUUCUAUUUUUCAAAUUCAAAUAGAGAAAAAUAUGACUAAAAUUUGCAAGUUUGUUUAUGCUAUAAUUCUAUUUUGUCUCUUAUUUAGUGGUGCAGUGGAAGCCAAAUUUAUGAUCAAAGGCCAUAUUUAUGAUCCACCUAUGGUAUGUGAAACAGAUGCCGAUUGUAUAGAUUCUUGGGACCCGAAUUUUGAUAUUAAGUGCAUUGAGAAAAAAUGUGAAUGGGUUAGAAAGGUUGUUGAUCCUGUACAGACCCAAGAUAGUACAAAAAUACCCUACAUGGGAGAAUGACCUAUUGUGCUAGUAAAAUAAAAGUGCAAUAUAUAUAUUAUGAGUUUUCAUUUAAUUUAA